rnacentral:lncRNA from 1 species
UCCUUCUUCACGUGUUCUUCCAGUACCAUUCAUCACAAAAUGAAAAAAAAAUACACACAUAGAUCUUUAUCUUCUCCUCAUGAAUCUUCAACCAAACUUAAGAAACUUAUCAUCUUCAUCUUCAUAUGCAUUUGCGUUUUCUAGUAUCCCAUUCUUUCCAGAUCUUGUUGUUCUUGAACUUGGGUUGAAGAUUUUUUCAAGAUCUUCUCAAACCAGAUCUAGAAUGUCUUGGAAAAAGUAUCAAUAUUUGCUAAUCUCAGCAAUCGAUGAUGAUGACGGCGACGACCGUCACAGAAAAAACCCGGUUUGCGCCGCCCAUACAGAAGGAUGAAGUUGAGUUUGGAAUGGAACAAGCUUUGAUUAGAGAACCAUUAUUGUCACAGUGCAUUGGGCGAACAGGAAUGGUUUUGUUUCAACAUUGAAUGGGUAAAUUCGACAAAGAAGGAAUGUUAGGAAGAAGAAGAAUGGAC